rnacentral:rRNA from 1 species
GAGUUUGAUCAUGGCUCAGGAUGAACGCUAGCGGCAGGCUUAACACAUGCAAGUCGAGGGGUAGAAGGAGCUUGCUCCUUUGAGACCGGCGCACGGGUGCGUAACGCGUAUGCAAUCUACCUUAUACAGGGGGAUAGCCCAGAGAAAUUUGGAUUAAUACCCCAUAGUAUUUUUGACCGGCAUCGGUUGAUUAUUAAAGUUCCAACGGUAUAAGAUGAGCAUGCGUCCCAUUAGCUAGAUGGUAAGGUAACGGCUUACCACGGCAACGAUGGGUAGGGGUCCUGAGAGGGAGAUCCCCCACACUGGUACUGAGACACGGACCAGACUCCUACGGGAGGCAGCAGUGAGGAAUAUUGGUCAAUGGGCGCAAGCCUGAACCAGCCAUGCCGCGUGCAGGAUGAAGCAUCUAUGGUGUGUAAACUGCUUUUGUACAGGAAGAAACACUCCCUCGUGAGGGAGCUUGACGGUACUGUAAGAAUAAGGAUCGGCUAACUCCGUGCCAGCAGCC